rnacentral:misc_RNA from 1 species
UCCGGUUUGUCACCGGCAGUCCCUCUAGAGUGCUCAGCAUUACCUGUUAGCAACUAAAAGUAAGGGUUGCGCUCGUUGCGGGACUUAACCCAACAUCUCACGACACGAGCUGACGACAACCAUGCACCACCUGUCUCCUUGUCCAAAGCAAGCUCUGGAGGACCUAAUCUCUUAGGCUUUCAAGGGAUGUCAAGACCUGGUAAGGUUCUUCGCGUUGCGUCGAAUUAAACCACAUGCUCCACCGCUUGUGCGGGCCCCCGUCAAUUCCUUUGAGUUUCAACCUUGCGGCCGUACUCCCCAGGCGGGGUACUUAAUGUGUUAACUGCGGCACAGAAGGGGUCGAUACCUCCUACACCUAGUACCCAUCGUUUACGGCGUGGACUAC